rfam:Anncaliia algerae PRA109 cont4.5677, whole genome shotgun sequence.
UGCAGUUACUGCACUAUUGAUUUGGAACAACACUGAGAAGAUUAGCAACGCCCCUGCGCAAGGACGGCGCUUUCUUUGAGAGGUUGCCUGUUGUGAU